ensembl:snRNA U6 U6 spliceosomal RNA
GUGCUUGUUUCAGCAGCCCAUAUACUAAAAUUGAAACAAUAUAGAGAAAAUUAGCAUGGCCCCUGUGCAAGGAUGACACACAAAUUUGUGAAGCAUUCUAUAUUUUU